GGUUGCGAUCAUACCAGCACUAAUGCACUGGAUCCCAUCAGAACUCCGCAGUUAAGCGUGCCUGGGCGAGAGUAGUACUAGGAUGGGUGACCCCUGGGAAGUCCUCGUGUUGCAACUC
rnacentral:rRNA from 1 species